GAUGAACGCUAGCGGCAGGCUUAAUACAUGCAAGUCGUGGGGCAGCAUGGGGUAGCAAUACUCUGAUGGCGACCGGCAAACGGGUGCGGAACACGUACGCAACCUUCCCAAAACUGGUGAAUAGCCCUCCGAAAGGAGGAUUAAUACACCGUAACAUAACGAAGUGGCAUCACUUUGUUAUUAUAGCUCCGGCGGUUUUGGAUGGGCGUGCGCCUGAUUAGGUAGUUGGCGGGGUAACGGCCCACCAAGCCUACGAUCAGUAACUGGUGUGAGAGCACGACCAGUCACACGGGCACUGAGACACGGGCCCGACUCCUACGGGAGGCAGCAGUAAGGAAUAUUGGUCAAUGGACGCAAGUCUGAACCAGCCAUGCCGCGUGAAGGAUGAAGGUCCUCUGGAUUGUAAACUUCUUUUAUCUGGGACGAAAAAGGGCUUUCUAGCUCACUUGACGGUACCAGAGGAAUAAGCACCGGCUAACUCCGUGCCAGCAGCCGCGGUAAACUGU
rnacentral:rRNA from 1 species